rnacentral:lncRNA from 1 species
GCAGAUGAUCAAUUCUCAGACAAGAGUUGCAUACCAUGACAAGUCAUGAAACAGAGGGCGUCAACAAUUGCAUGAAGCUAGACCUAUAAAGCCAUGUUCGCAAGAAACUUGCAUCUCUGCAGUGCACUAGUAACAGCGCCGGUCACAACAGUGGCGGCAGUAACACAAGCCACCGUUGCCGUCACGAUUAUUUUCAGGGAAAAGAAACCAACUCUUGCCGGAAGAGACGAACCAACCAUGGCGUCGCGAGUUCAGAGCGCGUUGAGCAUGUCCUCGGCGCUGCUGUUGGUGAACGCGCCGCCCUCCUCGAGGUUGAUCACCUUGACCACGCCGUCCUCCGCGAGCAGCGCGUAGCGGCGGGACCGGACGCCGAGCCCCACGGGCUUGUCGGAGAGGUCGAGCUCGACGCCCAUGGCGCGCGCCAGCUCGCCGUUGCCGUCCGACAGGAGCAGCACCUCGUCCCCGAUCCCCAGACUCUCCUUCCACGCGCGCAUCACGAAGGCGUCGUUGACGGAGACGCAGGCCACGGUGUCGACGCCCUUGGCGCGGAGCUCCCCGGCCUUGGCCACGAACCCCGGGAGGUGCUUCUGGGUGCAGGUGGGCGUGAACGCGCCGGGCACGGCGAAGAGCACCACCUUCUUCCCCGCGGUGAGGUCGCGGACCGUCACCGUCUUCAGCUCGCCGUCGGGGGAGGACGUGUCGAAGUAGGAGAGCGUCGCGUCAGGGAGCCGGUCCCCGACCGCGAUGGUCUUGGCCGCCGCCGCGGGGGCCGCCGACGCCGACGACGCCACGGCCCGGAUUGGCGCGCCAAGGAACCCCCGGAGGGGUGCCCCGGCGGCCAGGCGGCGGGAGGCGAAGGAGAGGGAGGAGGAGGAGGCGGGGCGCGACAGGAGGAUGCGCUUACCGGCGGCGGCCGCGGUGGCGGACAGAGCAGCGAGGGCGGAGGUAGCCAU